UCCGGUUUGUCACCGGCAGUCUCCCUAGAGUGCCCUUGCGUAGCAACUAGGGACAAGGGUUGCGCUCGUUGCGGGACUUAACCCAACAUCUCACGACACGAGCUGACUACAGCCAUGCAGCACCUGUGUGCAGAUUCUCUUUCGAGCACCCUCCAAUCUCUCGGAGGUUUCUGCCAUGUCAAGGGUAGGUAAGGUUGUUCGCGUUGCAUCGAAUUAAACCACACGCUCCGCUGCUUGUGCGGGCCCCCGUCAAUUCCUUUGAGUUUUAGCCUUGCGGCCGUACUCCCCAGGCAGGGCACUUAAUGCGUUAGCUGCGGCACCGGAGGGGUCGAUACCCCCGACACCUAGUGCCCACCGUUUACGGCGUGGACUAC
rnacentral:misc_RNA from 1 species